rnacentral:rRNA from 1 species
GAAGCGAUCAGGAGGAAAUUUUCGGAUGGAAUCCGGAUUGACUGAGUGGCGGACGGGUGAGUAACGCGUGGGUAACCUGCCUCAUACAGGGGGAUAACAGUUAGAAAUGACUGCUAAUACCGCAUAAGCGCACGGGGAUGCAUAUCUUUGUGUGAAAAACUCCGGUGGUAUGAGAUGGACCCGCGUCUGAUUAGCUAGUUGGUGAGGUAACGGCUCACCAAGGCGACGAUCAGUAGCCGACCUGAGAGGGUGACCGGCCACAUUGGGACUGAGACACGGCCCAAACUCCUACGGGAGGCAGCAGUGGGGAAUAUUGCACAAUGGGGGAAACCCUGAUGCACCAACGCCGCGUGAGUGAAGAAGUAUUUCGGUAUGUAAAGCUCUAUCACCAUGGAAGAAAAUGACGGUACCUGAGUAAGAAGCCCCGGCUAACUACGUGCCAGCAGCCGCGGUAAUACGUAGGGGGCAAGCGUUAUCCGGAUUUACUGGGUGUAAAGGGAGCGUAGACGGCGAUGCAAGUAUGAAGUGAAAGCCCGGGGCUCAACCCCGG